rnacentral:lncRNA from 1 species
GAGGGUGCUCUGGGUCACCCAUUUGCUGAGCAGCAGAACCAGGAUCUGAACUCAGGUCCAUCUAACACCUGAACCAGCAUUCUCUUCACUACCCCAUGGAGUAGCUCCAAGGCAUGGACAACUGUAAUAACUCCAAGGAAGCAUUAGAAUAAACUAGAAAAUAAACUUAAAAACAGUGUCAGUGUUAGGGGCCACUAGUGGACUGUUGAGAAGAAGCUUGACCCCAGUAACGAGAUGUAUGAUUUUUAGGCCCACAGAGUGGGUAGGUAACUGCAAGAAUGUAAAGGAAUCAAAGGCUGGUGUCAUGGUGAAUCCCAUCGCUCUCCGACUGAACUCCUACUGGGCUUGCAAAGCACAGACACAGAACACACUUGUGGCAAGAAUGAGUGGUCCCUGUGUCCCAUGUUUUGUCUCUCCAGAGUCAUCCUCCAGGGGAACACACACACCCUGACCAUGGGAAGGGAGGUCUGGCUAAAGGAGGAGGCCACUGCAAUGACUGAACACCUACUUUAUGAGCAAGCACCAACUAUGUGUCAGAUGCUGUCCAAAGCGUGGCGUGUCCAACAUUUUCACCAUUCUUGGUGCCUUAUCUCUAAGGAAAAAGGUCUGCAACCUUGAACUUCUGAGUUGGACUGUCUUGGAGACUCCUCUAUGCAAGUUACUGUGGGACCUUAACAGGUGAUUUAGCCCUUCUGAACCCCCAGUGACCUCACCUGUGGAAUGGGGAUCAUGAGAACACCUUCAUUUCAGGAGUUGUGUGAGGAUUAAAUGAGAUGAUGAAGCGCAUGGCACAGGGCUUGUUAAGAGCUCUGCAAAUUUUAGUCAUGCCGGUGAUGAUGAAGAAGAAAUGCGAGUGCUCUAAAGGCUCCCCAAGGUGUUAUCCUUGGCUUCACUGCUGCCUAGAAUUUGCAGCAGGGCAGCAAGAAGGCCCUGAUGCUGGCAGUCCUGGGAAGCCUGAGUGUUUCUCACUUGCCUAGUGGCCUGGGGACAAUCACUUUCUCCUUCCGCACCUUCAGAUCGGGGUCUGAGGGUUGAGUCCCCAGGGCUCUGGGUCAGAGACACAAUGUCAGAGUUGUUCCAAAGGACAGAAA